UAUUUUACCUUCCAAAGGAAUCAAUUAAUUAACGCCU
rfam:Choloepus hoffmanni cont1.271339, whole genome shotgun sequence.